ACGAUUUUCAUAAAAUUUAGUAUACAGGG
rnacentral:sRNA from 1 species